UACGAAGGGGGCUAGCGUUGCUCGGAAUUACUGGGCGUAAAGCGCACGUAGGCGGUUUCUUAAGUCGGGGGUGAAAUCCUGGAGCUCAACUCCAGAACUGCCUUCGAUACUGAGAGACUUGAGUCCGGGAGAGGUGAGUGGAACUGCGAGUGUAGAGGUGAAAUUCGUAGAUAUUCGCAAGAACACCAGUGGCGAAGGCGGCUCACUGGCCCGGUACUGACGCUGAGACGCGAAAGCGUGGGGAGCAAACAGG
rnacentral:rRNA from 1 species